UACGGGGGGAGCAAGCGUUGUUCGGAUUUACUGGGCGUAAAGGGCGCGUAGGCGGCGCGGUAAGUCACUUGUGAAAUCUCUGAGCUUAACUCAGAACGGCCAAGUGAUACUGCAGUGCUAGAGUGUGGAAGGGGCAAUCGGAAUUCUUGGUGUAGCGGUGAAAUGCGUAGAUAUCAAGAGGAACACCUGCGGCGAAGGCGGGUUGCUGGGCCGACACUGACGCUGAGGAGCGAAAGCUAGGGGAGCAAACGGG
rnacentral:rRNA from 1 species